rnacentral:misc_RNA from 1 species
UUGGAGGGCAAGUCUGGUGCCCGCAGCCGCGGUAAUUCCAGCUCCAAUAGCGUAUAUUAAAGUUGUUGCAGUUAAAAAGCUCGUAGUUGAAUUUCGGGGUCAGCAGGCUGGUCGUGCCACUGGUAUGAACUGGUCUCACUGAUUCCUCCUUUCUGAAGAACUGUAAUGUCAUUAAUUUGGUGUUGCAGGGAAACAGGACUGUUACUUUGAAAAAAUUAGAGUGUUUAAAGCAGGCAAUUGCUUGAAUACAUUAGCAUGGAAUAAUGAAAUAGGACGUUCAAACCUAUUUUGUUGGUUUCUAGGAUUGACGUAAUGAUUAAUAGGGAUAGUUGGG